ACGCCGCGUGAGUGAUGAGGUUUUCGGAUCGUAAAGCUCUGUUGUUAGGGAAGAACAAGUGCCGUUCAAAUAGGGCGGCACCUUGACGGUACCUAACCAGAAAGCCACGGCUAACUACGUGCCAGCAGCCGCGGUAAUACGUAGGUGGCAAGCGUUGUCCGGAAUUAUUGGGCGUAAAGGGCUCGCAGGCGGUUUCUUAAGUCUGAUGUGAAAGCCCCCGGCUCAACCGGGGAGGGUCAUUGGAAACUGGGGAACUUGAGUGCAGAAGAGGAGAGUGGAAUUCCACGUGUAGCGGUGAAAUGCGUAGAGAUGUGGAGGAACACCAGUGGCGAAGGCGACUCUCUGGUCUGUAACUGACGCUGAGGAGCGAAAGCGUGGGGAGCGAACAGGAUUAGAUACCCUGGUAGUCCACGCCGUAAACGAUGAGUGCUAAGUGUUAGGGGGUUUCCGCCCCUUAGUGCUGCAGCUAACGCAUUAAGCACUCCGCCUGGGGAGUACGG
rnacentral:rRNA from 1 species